rnacentral:lncRNA from 1 species
GUCUUCCUCCUUCUUCGCAGCGGCAAGGUCUCGCUCCUUACGAACUUCCUCCAGCUUAGCCUUCUCUGCUGCUACACUGUCGAGUGUGGAUCCCCUUGGAGGACGCGCACUGAGCAGCUCAAUCUCAAACACCAAGGUCGCUCCAGGUGGAAUUACGGGAGCUGACCCGGCUUGACCAUAAGCGUAGUCAGACUUACAGGUGACGAUUGCAACUUCACCGACUUGCAUGGUCUUAACUGCAAUGUCCCAGGCGCGAAUAACACUCCCUUUUCCAAUCUCGAAGGUGAACACAGUGUUAUCCUCUUUCGUAGAAUCGAAAACUUCACCUAUUUCAUCAAAGCCAAAAAUUGGUGAGAAUGUGGCGGCUCCGCCAAUUCAACAUCCCAUGUGCGCUACUGUCCAAUUCUCAAAUACCUACAUUUACAGAAAGCAAUUGUUUCGCCUCGAAUGUCACGUUUCGCUCAACCUUUCGCGUUUCUGAACACUAAUGUCAGAAAUUCAGUCCGAUUUGAGGAGCAGCCGACCAUAUGUACUGAUAAGAACAUCACUACAAAAUUGUUGCGAUCAGGUUGGAUGCAGACCUGUAUCAGCAAAUUUGCCUUCAUACUGUACAUCGACGUUGGGCAAAUUUUCCGACGGAUGAAGCGCUCCAGGCCUGGCUUUCCGAACAAUCUGCUUAACAACUCCGCCGUCGCCGGUCAGAUCCACUACAUCACCCAUGUCUGCUUCUCGAAGUUUCACAAAAAUCCACCACUUCGGUAGGAGCUUUCAGCCAAAUUUCAAAAACUAAACAGGACUUUCUC